rnacentral:lncRNA from 1 species
GAUGUAAGUUUAUUAUAUAAGGCACAAAAAGGUACAGAAAUCCGAAAUCCACUCUUGUUUGUUUUGUUUUUUGGUUUGCAGGUGGAGAUCGAGCAGGAUAAGGAGAGUAAUAUGCAUCCCAUGAUUUCUCUUAUUAAGAAAUAUCAGCAGCCACCAGAAGAAGAAACAAGUAUUCUUUUUGGUCAUGAAGAAGAAACAACUAAAAGGAAAAGUCCUCAAGGAAAAGUCAAAGAUGGGGGAGUAAGGAAAAGUCUAAGACUUAAGGAGGCAAGUCAGAGACUGAAGAAGAAGUCGAUGUAACUUUCUUGACUCAGUUAGCUUCAAAUACAUUAUCAGGUUUCGGUUUUAUGAUGAAUUUUGUCUCCAAUGGUAUUCAUAUGUAUGGAAAUGGGCUCCAAAACUUUCCUUUUACAUCUCUAAGUUAAGAGGUUGGAGGUUAUAAUUUUGAAUUAUUAAGUUGUCAUGUCCCCUCCUCUUUCUAGAAAUUAUGAAUCGGAAGAAUGUUUCUGAAUUGAAAAAUAGCCGGAGGUUUUGGUCCAUUGAGUUACUGCUUCAUUCAUUUUUUCGGUCUACUUUUCGACUUUAAAGUAAGCAGCAUGCAAAAGAAGGCAGGAAAUGUCGUGGGUUUGGUUCAAGAUUUAACCAUUGAGUCAUUUAUUUUGUCGUAUUUUUAAUUAACCGACAACUCAACAUAGCACUUGCUAGAAGGCAAUCAUUUGUAUAUCUCUUAUACAAAAAAGGAUGGUUAUAUUAACUUAUUUGUUAUGGUAAAAAGGAUGGUUAUAUUGGUUUGUGAACAAAUUGAUUUGUUAUUGUAUGGGUGUAUAUAAUUAUUCUCCUUCGCAAAUAGCGAGUUGAAACAUGGAAAAGAAGCCAGUGGAUUUAAAUUGGCUGUACUAAACUGGUUUGUCUUCCGAUAUCCAAACCAGGGGUCAUAAAGUUUUGGAAUCCUCUGUUUUUUUUUUUUUUUUAAUGAAAGGUAGAUUAUAUGCAAAUAAUGAUUUAAAAAAAUAAUGAGUUUUGAAACUAAAUGUUUUUAGAAACACAGAUUAAAUAAAGGCACGUGCUCUGCAAAUGGCUACCAAAAAUAAUUAAAUCUUACUAUAAAAAACAAAAUAUGAUAAAAACAUAAUUAACUAAAAGAUUCAAUCGAUUGUUUAAUACACUAAAAAUAAUCCUUGUUACGCAUCAAUUUGGUAAGAACUCUUUUUUUUUCUUUUUUUUUUCUUUUCUUUUUGAUAAAUACACACAUAAACUAAAACCCUAACCAAUGGUAACAAACGAACUUUGGAAAAUCAUAUAGAACAAUGUUAAUGAACACAUGCCAUCAAUAAGGAAAGUAACGGCUGCAUACUACUGCACAAAGAGGAAUAACAAAACUUAGCAACAUAGUAACACUAAUAUUAUCACAAAAUAUAAAAACCAAAACAAAGCUCGAAAAGAUUAUUAUACAUGGCACAUGAUUCGGUUCUUUCAACACAAGAGCAAAAAGUUCAGAACAUUUUUUCAUAUUUUCAUACUUUCUACUUACUUCCAGUUGUCUGAACAAGCAAAUAGCUUUAGAAAAAUAUAUUUUUAUUGCCCUCAUUUUUAUGGAUAUUUACACAUAAUUGCUAUUGAAUGAUUAAGGAAUAUUUAUUUUCAAUUAAUUAAAAAAAAUCCAACAUUUCAAUUUUAAAAUAUAUUUUAAUUAUUUUAUAAUAUAUUUAAUGAUUAUAACAUUAUUAGAUCUAAAACAUUUUCCAAUUAAAAAAAAACUGAUUACUAUUCACAUAUUUAAAAUUUCCAAAAAAAACUAUCAUUACUAUAGGAAAUUGACUUAUUUAAUACCUUAUUUAAUACCAUUGAUAUAAUAUUUCACGGUGAAACAUAUUCUUACACAAAAAAAAAAAAAAAAAUCUUGCAUAGAUUGAAGAAAUAGCGGAUUAUAUAUUUAGUUGGUACAUAGUAGUUUGAUCUAAACAUAUUCUCACGGGUUAUAUAUUUCGUUUUUACACAAACAAAUUUUAGAUCCUCAAAACUAACUUUACUCAUAACACUAAUUUUAUCUGCGUAGAUUUAUCCUGCACAUAGUGCACGUUGUUACCUAGUGCAAUUAGUAACCAAAAAGUAAAAAGUAAAUAGAACAUAACAAAAAAUGAUUUCUUCAAUUCCUUCUUCCCCCAAUGCUUUCAACCCGUAAAAAUUGAAAAGUAAUUGGAAUGAGAAAGAGAAAAUGAGCAAUUAGAACAGUGCUUCGACUCCUUCUGCUCACAGUGCUCUCAACUCCUAAGAAAAACUUGAAAACUAAUUAGAACGGAAAAGAGAAAAUGAGCAACUGAUCCAAUCAUGUAAAAUACCAACAAAAGAGCUUCACGUCUGGAGAAGAAAUCACUUUCAUAGAUAUACCACUAGGUUCGCUAAAUGUUGUCAAACUAUUUUGAAAACAAAAACAGUUAGUAACCAGAUAAUUAAUCCAGUGAUAUCCAAAAGCGAUAUAUAUUAUCCGAUGUACAAAUGACAUGAUCCUAUAAAAAACAAGUGAGUUACCUAAUCAAGGGGUGAGAAUCUAGCUACGACCUCGUCAAGACACCUAAUCGAAAUAGAGCCCUGCCAAAGAUGAAGUAAGUAGUCAAGAAAACAAUAAAACAUAAAUUCAAAUUAAACAACAGAGCGCCAACAAACAACCAAAUAAAUCCAAAGAGAGAGGAGCAGAGACAAAGAAACAGAAUAAAGGAAACCAAUCAUUUGAAACUAUUCCUUAAGGCAACUGAACUGGUUUGAGAAAUGUUUCCUUCUGCAAAUUGGAAAACAGAGAAAAAAGAGAGAAUUAAGUAAGCAAACGUUUACAGAAAGUUAUUCACCUAUUCGGAAAAGCUAAAAUCAACAAAACCAAACAAAAAAAAAUUGGAAAAUACUUAAAACCCGUAAAACCAUAAUUAAACAGCCAUAAGACAUUACAUGACAACUGACAAAUCAAACCUCUGCAUCAAUAAUUUAAAAUAACAAAAAAAAAGAAGAAGUAAUUAACACGUAAACAGAAUAAAACCAGAGACACAAUUUAGAAACCAAAACUUAGAAUACAAGUGUUUUAGAAGCUCGACAACCUAAAUCAAGUGGCUAAUAUUAGAAAGAAACAGACGAAACCCCAAAAAGAAAGAGACCAAAAACGCAUAUAUAUCCUCUUUAUUUGUAUCUGCUUAAGAAGUAAAUUCAACAAGUCAGUAAUGGUAACGUGUGAAAUAAGGAAUCAAACAGUAGAAAAGAACAGACGAAACCCCAUGAACAUUAAAAGAAAGAUACCAAAAACUCAUAUCCUUUGUAUUUGUAUCUGCAUAAGAAGUAAAUUCAACAAGUCAAUAAUGGUAACAAGUGAAUUAAGCUAUCAAACAGUAGAAGAAAAUAAAACCUAAAAAGAUGAUCGGUGCAAAGAAAUUAAUUUCUUCGAAUCCUCCUCUUCCAUAAUGCUUGUAAAUCCUGACAAAAAAAAACACAAAAUUAAGAUUAAGAAAAAAGAACAAGAGACUUCUUGAAAUCCCUUUGAUCUCUUGAUCGAUAGUCUCUGAAACUUCAAUCACCUGUAUCAAUAAAUUUAUCUGAACGUAAUUAAGAAAACCACCCAUGAAAUUUAGAAACCAAAACCCUAAAUAUCAUAAGUAACCUCAUACGCUAGUGGGAACGAUGAUGAUCUUGUCGAUCACAAAACCCUAAUAACUUGCGUAAGUAUAUAAAAAGAAGCAAGCGAUUCAAUUUUAGAAACCGUACCCAGUGGCGGAUCCAGAAAAAUAGUUUACAUGGGGCACAAAUAAUUUAUAAUUAAUAAUAUUAAAAAAUUGAAAAUAUUAUAUCUACUGGUUUCUAAAUAUAAUUAAUUAUAUGUAUUAGAUAAAUUUUAAAAACAUCAAUUUAAUAUUAACUAAAAUAAAUUUCGAUUUACACAUCUAACAAUAUUACACGAAUUUAGAUUCUAAACAUUAAAUAAACUACAAAAAAUAAUAAUCUUCAUUAAUUUACUAGUUUUACUGAAAAUAAUAAUAAAAAUGUAGGUAUUAAUUUUUUUACUGUAGACAAACAUGUCUUAAAACUCCCACCAAACAAAAACAAAAACAUGUCUUAAAAUUUGUUAGUUAAAUUGAAACUAGAAAGAUAACAAUAUAAUGAAAAGAGCAUAGUUUUAUUUAAAAGGAAUAAGAAAAAUACAGUCAAUUAAUUAUAAAAAGAAUUAAAAAUGUAGGAAGAUAUUAAAAAUAGAACAUGGGCUGUGGCAAAGAAAUGAGAAAUCGUUAAAAAAAAAAAAAGCAAACCAAAAAACUGAAAUAAAAGAAUCGAACCCCUUUCCUGAAGUAUAGCAGCAUGGGGCACUUUAGGCCAACUGAGCUAAUAGAAUAAUAUCUGUAAUGUUCAACCGAUAACUAUUUAAUAAGUAGUGUGGGGCACGUGCCCCACCUUAUUAUACUCUAGAUCCGCCCCUGACCGUACCACACCGUAGAAUAGAAGCAACCUGUGAAACAAGAACUGAGAAGAUCGAAUAAAAUCAAUUUUCUUUCAAAUCCUUGGGAAUCAACAAAAAAUAAUUUAGAGAGAUCAAUAAACUAAAUCGCUUGAAACCCAAUCAAAGAACCUCUGCUUUGUAGAAGACGAAAGAAUGAGAAAAUUGGAGACAAAAGAGGUGUGUGCUUUAUUUAUAGUGAGGAGGUACUAAAUCUAACAGUGUAGUGUAGAUCGACUCAAUUCGUAAGGAAAUAGUUAUCAACGGUGGACAUUAGAAAACACAAAGUCGGCUACGCUCCUCUGAGAUUUUCUGACCGUUAGAUUUUUGGCACACGUGUCUCUAUUGUUAAUUCUCUGAGCAUUAUACAUUCGUCUGAGAUUUUUUUACCGUUAUUAGUCUUCUUGGCACAUGUGUCAAUGUUUUGAUUCACUGACAUUUUUACAUUUGACUGAGAUUUUUUUGCCGUUAGAUUUUUGAGCACAUGUGUUGAUUUUCUGGUUCUCUGAAAAUUAUACAUUCUAGGUUUUUAGGUGUUCUGUUGGAUUAGCAUUUAGAUCGAGUUAAAAGUUUAGAACUCUUCUUCAGUCGGUGUCCUUAAAUUUCUGUAGUCUCUUACAAAGGCACAUAAAUAAGAUAAGGGAACUGAAAAACCCCAUAAAUGAAAUAAAAAUUAAAAAAAAUUAGAACAAUGAUACACUUUGCAAUUUGCAACGUCCGGCAUCUAUAUAGAUGUAAUAAACAAUGUUUUCGAAUUUGCCCAAAAAAAAAGAAAAGCAAUGUUUUCAAAAGUAGAGGUGAAUAAACAAAAAAAAAAAAAAAAGGAAAAAAAUCAGAGGUGAACUGAAAAUAAUUAAUUGUAGUUUCUAAUAAAUGUAAUAUUUAUUUAUAUUCUUAGAAAUAUGUGAUAACAUGAACAAAGACAUGCUUGAUUAAAUAAUAGACAAUUUAAACUCAAACCAAAUCAAAUUUUUUAACUAAAAGAAAUGGUUGUUAAAUAUCUAACAUUUUUCAAGGAAGAAACAAGAUGAACCUUGUAUAAUAAUUGACAAAGAAGACAAAAAAAGGGAGCAUAAAGUCGCACCUCAAAAAAUAAAAUAAAAACACUUCCUGGAACCUAAAAGAUACUGCUCAAUUUUCCUUGAGUACCAAGUUUUUUGGUGCAUGAUUCUUAAUUUAUGCCAACUUAAUCUUCAAUUCAACUGAAGAACCAACAACAUUAAUUCAGAUUUGGGCGAGAGGAGAAUUGUUAAGGUUCAUAAAAAAUCAAAUACUAAAGUAUUAGUUUAAGAAGAUGUGAUUAGGUGUUAGACUAUAAUUAAGAGAACUCUCUUCAGUUAUUAUGUAUAGGAUUAAAUGGUAAGCAUAUCAGUAGUCAAAUCUUGAGCAACCAAGUUUAAAAGAAGACUUACGAUAUAUAAUCUUAGCGGUGUCUAAACAGUCAGUUUUUAAAACCGUUGCUAAUUAACUACUAAGUGACCACUGGAAUAUCUUAUUUUAUAUGGGUAAUCAGUAGCUCGGGAUUCAAAAGAGUAAGUAAAACAAGGUCAUGGCUCGUGUUGGUGAGCUUCCAUGAAACUUCAUUCGCCUGUGUAAUAGUGGGAGAUUGAAGAAGUCUUUUGCCCUUUAUUCUCCUUUUGUUAUUCGUAUCUAUAAUAAAACUGAAAUUGAGAGAUUCAAAACAGUGUAUUAAUAGAGGUUUCUGGGCCGGUUUAACUAAACCACUGACUGAAAAAGUUACUUUACCUAUACAAUAACUCAACCUUGAGAGUAAUUUUAUAACAAGAAACACACUAAAAAAAGUGACCUGACAGGAACCAAAGAAUACAGUUGCCCUUUUUCUUUUGACAGCCAACUAAUACAAGUAUGAUUAUAUAGUAACACUGCUUUCUUAAACCUCUUCCAUUACAAGUAGAAUUAGGAAUGUCGAGUUAUGACUAUAAAUACCUCGAUCGAGUUGUGAUCAUAGGCAUGAGCUUUGUGCUUAGUUUUCAGAGAGUUUCUAAACAUUAAUAAAAGGAUCAUACAUACAUACAAGUAUGUUUCAAGCAUAAUCUUACACUUUUCAAAGCAUAUGAUAAGAUGACUUUGAUUAACUUCUUAACUUCAAAAUCUUUCGUCUCGCUCUACAGAUUAGCCAAAAGUGGUGCUAUUUAGCGUCACCACCACUGUUACCGCUUCUUUGACACCAUAAGUUCAAUAAUUUUUAAAUUUCAGACACCCAAUAAAAUAGCGUUUCCUCUCAUUACAUUCCAUUCUCACUUGCGUAAGGUUAAAGACUCUCCUGUGUUGAUAUUAUAAACCACAUCACUACAGAUUGUGUCCUACUCGAAUCUUGAUCGUGACAUAUCAAUCCGAUCCAUUAACAUGCUUGGUGAUCGGCCACAACAGAAACAGUAUACAAGUUCUUAUCUGGAUUUUUAGGAUGAGGUGAAGACAAGAAGAAUAACUUGUCACUAGUCCAGAAGGUGAAAAGAACUCGUGGAUGAGCCAAAGACAUGGUCAUGAACAGCUUUGUGAAAUCUUGACGGCUAAGUAGUAUGGAAGGCGACCAUUAUUUGGAUACGCAACAAAACCAAGCUAUGUAUAUACUUUGAUGGGACUCUCAAGAAUAUAUCGAUAAAGAGAUCGAUUGGGAUUUCGUCUACGUUUUCUCUUCUUGAAGUAGAAGAUUUUGUAUUGGAUUGAAAGAUCGCUAGAUGACCAUCCAAACGAGACGUUCUGCUUCAGUUUUUUUCAUGACGUAUUGGCUACGUUUUAAACCCUAGCUUUUUCGCUAUAGACAGAAUCAAGACGACUUUGGCUCUGUGCUCUUCCUUGAUUUCAACUUAUUUUUGAUAACUUUAACCAGAGAUGAUAAAGUUUCAGUGACAUUCCUGAUACGGUAUAGAGACAGUGCACAACAGAUAUUUGCUUGGAACGCGCCAAGCCAACGCUUGUAUAUUUGCUUUUAUUAACACAAAGAUCACUACAGUGAUUUAUAUGUUUCGGCCCUUACUCAACUUACCCCGCUCAAUAGGAUUGAACCCGACAAAAGCAAAUCUAAGCUGAUUUCUAUCCUAUGCUCACCCGCUCAUGAACAACAAGAAAAGAAAUCAAAACACUCACCCUUCUCAGCCUUUUGUUUUUGGCGGCUUUGAAGUAUACAAUCCUCACCAAUAUAAUCUAGAGUGUCAACCUAUUUCGUGGCUACCUCUAGACUAUUUAUACAGCCACGAGAAAACCCUAUUUGUUAGGAUCUCGCAAUCUUCAUCCUAGGAUAGUCUUGCACACCAAGCUUAUCCUUUCCUUAUAUGUUGUUAGAGAAUAUUCACUAAAUCUCUUCAACAAUAAAGGUCUUCAAAGCACGCCUCUAGGUUAGCUACCACGUCCUUGGAACGUCACAUCUUUAUUUCUAGCGAUGCCAUGUAAGCCCUAGGUGUCCACGUCAGCAAACAGUCUUCUGAUGUCUUCUGAUGUUACAACUGCUUCCUGUUCUGAUCAGCGAUUCGUUCUUCAAACAACUAAUGGUUCACAUCAGCUUCUUUAAUCCUCAGUAAUCAAGCUUCUAAUAUUCCGAUGCGACCUCAUGAUCUACACGACGAGUUGUUCUUCAUAUACCGAGUUGUGCACAUCAGCUUCCUGUUCUGCUACGUCAAUUCAUGCUUCAAUAUCAUCAUCUUAGGCAUCUGAUGUGAUCACACAUCCACUCCUGUUCUGCCAUGUCAGCUCCUGCUUCCAUGUUAGUAACUCAAACGUCUGAUGUGAUCUGAUGCAGCUUUCUGAUCCAGACCGUGAAUGGUUAUGCGUACACGUGCUGAUCCAGAAUCUGCAUCUUCAAUCUCCCCCUUUUUGACUUAGUUUGAUACUCAAGCAACUUCCUAAAGAUAACCUGAAAGUCAAAGACAGAGAGACAAACGGACACAACAACAUACCAAUAUCUAGAAAUGAUCCUAGCAUUAGUACCUCAAACAGAGUGAUGUGUUCAACAUUAUUACAGUUCUAACAAGUCCCAGCAGACUGAUAAAUAUUCUAAUGAAAGAACAGAGAACUGUAACAAAGCAAAACUAUGAUUAAGAACCUAAACAUUAACGACCACAAUGGCCUGCAGCGGAAACCAUGUUCUUAAUAGUUCUCUAAUCAGACUUAACCAUUUGGCAUAUCCAUAAGUACUAUAAACAUAAAAUCAACCAAGUAAUCAAACCGUUAAGUCUCCCCCAUAAACAAUGAUUCUCCCCCUAAAUCAAAGAACGAUUCUUCCCUACAAGUAAAGAUCCCUCAACAUUAGGUAUUUAAAACAUAUCAGGAACCGGAAUCAUUCUCCCCCUGCUUGAGUGCAUAACUAAGUUAAAAAUAAACAGGUGUAUCACAUCAGUAAGCAGAGUUAUGGAAACACUUACCUGAUGACAGUGUUGUUCAACAUGAAGCACUGCAAUGACCAGUCUCAUCGCUUUGAGAUCAUCAGUCAUUCCAACCACAAAGGUUGAGGUUGCUGCUUUCACUAUAGUUGCUGGUUCAACUUGAAAGUCUACGCCAUCAUGUGGAUGAGUCGAGCUAUAGUUGCCUUGCACUACUUCACAUUGUCGUUUGACAAACCACAACCAUGUCAUCAUACAGCACGCCAGUCAUCUGCAUCCUAUGGGUUCGUUCCUCUAUAUCCUCUUAACAGAUGAUAUGCUUUCCUAGAGCUUUCGCAUUAUUUGAGCACACAUGACUGAAAACCAGUCACAUUCCUCCAACAACAUCUUGUACCGUUUUAGAUCUCUGGUUUACUGUAAAUAUCUUUCAUUCUUGCAUAAAAACCAGUUUCUUUGAUUGAUUCUGCACAUAGUCUUGAUGUCCUUGAUCAUCCUCAUGCUCGCAGACUUGUCAUCCACUUCACUACAAUCAACAGAGAGUUGAUCUGUACAAGUGAGAACUCAAAUACCCAGUUCCUGUCAAUAACAUGUACUGUCGUAAUCAGACUCCUGACAUUUGAUGGAUUAGCCCAUAAGUCUCAUACUCCUUCAGGUAUGUCCGGCUCAAUUUCAGACACAGUCCUUAGAAGCCCAUCAGCUUCAUCAUCAUCGCAUGAAGACAAAAUUGUUUUAUCUUCAACGAAUGCAUCAUGAUUCUUAAAUAGGACAUCGCACCUCUGUUUCGCCGAGCAGAGAACCGAACAAAGUCUCAUCACAAUCUGCUGCACCUACAGAUCAUCAGGGAUAAGUUGACUCUUUUCACUCUUCUGUUGGCUCCUAGACACUGAAACAUCAACACUCUUCUGCAUAUUCACCCGACGACACAGAUGAUAGUAGAUUCGUCAAGCAGCUGGUAAGAAACAACUUGUUAUCCGGUAACAUGUUUCAGCUUUCGGCAACAUUCUCGUUGAUCAACCAUGUUGAUCAGAGUUGGGACUUAGUGACAGCUACCAGAUGUAAAGACAGAGACGACCAUGCCAUUCGCUGGUGAACCACAGUCUUCUACUUGGGAAUACACCAGCCUCCGAUACUUUCCCGUGUGGGUUUGAAACAGAUGGGCUUAUGCUUGUUAACCUAACAUAUAUAAUCCUGACAACCACUUAACAGAAACAUUAGUGCACAUUUGCCAGCAAAUCCCUAUUUGAAAAUCAACUCGCUAAUCAACACCAAUUAAUCACAUAGAACUUUUCAUGAUUAUUCAUCAUAUACAAUCACUUUAUCAUGAGCAAAUGAGUGACCCAGAAUGGUAGCAAGCAUGUGAGCAUAUGUAGAUUAAGUUCAGUUUAAAAGUUCUCAUACCUUUGAAGUCUGUUCUGUGUUCUGUGCCAGCCACUUGUUCAGGACUCAGCCAGAAACUGUCACAACCUUAUGAAUCUUCGAAGAGUCAGCUCGGGAUCAGUGGCUAGUCUUUCACACUGUCAUGCCUUUAGUCCAGAACAAUCAAUAUGCCCAGGCAGCUGGAAUUUCCUUUGGAGAGUGCACGAUCAGGAGUGUGUUAAGUCCUUUUUUUUUUUUUUUCUCUUAACACAGCACCUCGGAGUUUCAGAUUCAACGCUCAAGUAUGGUCGCUUUUCAAGCUUCUGACUUUUUCAGGCUUCUAUUGAACCUUCUGAUUUGUAUCAGAAACAUCACUUGUGUUUUCAGUCUCUGAUACCUGUGCAUGCCCUUGAGUUUCUUGUUCAGAACUCCCUCCAGUAGCUUGUACCAGACACAUCACUUGACUUCUCAAUGUCCGGUACCUUUUUGAAUGACAUGCACAUAAAUGCCCCUCCUCAGCUCUUUGACCUCCUAGAACACGACAACAUUUUACUAUUGUAAGGACCGGCAUGACAGGCAGCUCUUUUCCACACACCUUUGAGUUACAGACAGCUGAUCUUCUAUACAUCCUUUGGAAUUUACAUGACCUGUUCCAGUGUCUGUCCCUGUCUUUGAUCAGCACAACUCACAGAACAAGUUAGACCUCACACACACACCAAUAGCUUUUCUCAGAUCUACGAAUCGAUUAAAGUCCAGAGGCUUGGUGAAUAAAUCAGCAAGUUAAAAAAUAUUACUCACAAGCCUAACUACAAUCAGUGUCUCCUCAAUUAAUUCACGAAUCAAGUGAUGCAUUAUGUCAAUAAGUUCAGUUCGUGAAUGUUCAACGGGGAGCAUGGCUAGUUUAAUUGCACUCUUGAAAAAGAAUCAGAGAUCAUACCAUAGUAGUCAGCUGUCGUUUGUUUCAUCAUAAUGGGCUGAGUACAUGAGCUCCCAAGUGUAGUGUCUGAAUCAUUGCUUAUUGUGGGAACAGAAACACUUUGUUGUUGUAGCUCCACCUGUUGUGAUCCUUCAGAAGCGCUCACACUGUGUUGUUGCUGCUCAACCUGUCAUGAUCCUUCAGUAACGCUCACACUGUGUUGUUGCUGCUCAACCUGUCGUGAUCCUUUGGUAACUCUUCCCCCUGAAUCUCUCCUACAUCAUUAUGAAUGGAGUGAUUCUUAUGCACCUGACUGAUUGAGUCUUCAAUAGUUACAGCUUGACUCCUGCUCACAGAUUCAUGAACAGACUCAUUCCCAGAGGACAUAGGUGCAUCAGUUACCUGAUCAUCUGUAUGACACUUAUUCGGAUACGUGCGUAGUGUGACACGAUCCAGGAACUUACAACAGUCAGCUUUGUAGUGAUUCUGACUUCCACAACACCAACACCCUAUUCUUCUUUUCAGAGCUCUGACACUUCGCAAGUUAGUCUUAGCGUUUGAUCUCGUCUUUGCCUUCACAUGUCUGAAGUGUGAACAAUUGCUUACGUUGGUACCUGAAGAUUCGCCAUAGGAAUACAGAUCAUCCUUCUUGAUGUAGACUUGAUUACAUCGGUUACCAUCCUUGUGGAACCUCUUCUGGCGUAUGAGCUGAUUCACACGAUUCUGAAAUCUGUAACAAUCGGUCUUGAUAUGCCCAGGCUUACCGCAGUACCAACAUCCUGUUCCUCGUCCUCCUGAGUAGGUAAAUACAGGACUCUGUUUGGGCGUUCCACUGUGAUUGCAGGAGAGACGUCUGUUUUGCCGGCUUGAUUGUCUCAUACCCUCACUGGUACUAACUGGUUUCACAGGAGAUAUAUACGUCUUUAUAAACUGAGUGCUACAGUUAGGAUUACCUCUGUGAUACGAUGAUGUGCCACACGUCUUCCUGGAUUGAGACCUUGAGAGAUCAGAAGAUUGCGUCUGUCCUAAGUUCUUCGUCUUCACUGAUGAUUCAGGAGCUGAACCGUUUUCCUUGACGAACUUGGUAGUGCCACUAGUUGCUCCUUCCUUAUAUCCCAAGUCAAAUGGUGUGCUGCCUACUCUCCCAUAGCUUAGCCCUCCAUCAAGAUCCUUAGUUCCCAUGCUCAGCAUCCUGAUAUUCUUCAUCUGAUCACUCAACAGUUUUUCCAAACUCGAGUUUUUGAUUUUUUCUUCACUCAGUUCCUUCUCAAGUGUAGAAAUCCUUAUCCGAAUGUUGUCUCUUUCAGAAAUCAAAUCGUGAUUCUCCUUUCUCUUCUCCACCAAGGUCAUCAGAAAAUUGAUAAGUUCUUCAGCCGUCAGGAUCUCUUCUGUGUCUAAAUCAGAUGAAUGAUUUUCAGUACUUGACGUAUCAUUGUCUUCUCCAUCUUUAAUUUCCCUAAGAUGUGCUACAGGGUUGUUGAGGAGUGUUCCUCCAUCAGCCUCCUGCUUGUCAAUAUCGCUCUCACUAGAAGUGACUUCCACUUUACGUUUUGAUUCUGAUCCUUUGACAGAGUCGACUCUAGUGUGACAACGCCCCUUGCACUCAAAGCACUGUAGCGAGUUUCUCUUUUUGAUUGUUGGACAUUCUGAUAUGAGAUGACCGCUUCCUUCACACACAGAACAUUGUUUGUCAGAUUUUCUUUUUUUCUUGUCUGCGGUAAUCUGAUUAUUUGUUGAUACCGGCUUGCAGUGAUCACUCUUCAUCCUCCUUAAAUAUUUUUUGACAAUCAGACCCACUGUAUCUUGCACAUCAUCUUUCUGUUUGUCAGCAGCUACCAGACCACUUCUUUUCCCAAUCGUCUGUUCUUUCUUCUUCAGUUUUAACUCAUAUGCCUACAUCAUCGCAACAACCUGAUCAAAUUUUAAUUCACAAGAGUUCAGAGAUACCUCAAUGGCAGACACGUAUGGUUGGAACUUGGACGACAGACUCUUGAGAAACUUCUUGACAAGCUUCUUAUCCUUGUAUGCUUUUCCCAGCACCACAGCUUCCUGACGAAUGGAAAUCAGUUUGCUGCUGAAGUCGUGAAUAGAUUCACCGUCCUCCAUAGAUAGGUUUUCAAACUCAGACACCAGCAUAUCAAGUCUGGUUUUCUUCACACUGCUGGUUCCUUCAAAUGACACUUGAAGAAUAUCCCAAGCCUCCUUUGCUGAUGUGCAUCUUUGCACCAUAGUGAGCUGGCUCAUGUGCAAGGAACUGAAAAUAGCAGACAGAGCUCUGGCGUUGUACUUAGCCUCUGCCUUUUCAUGAGCCGUCCAUGAUUUCUUAGGUUUUUGACAAACCACUCCCUCAGCACUGGUGGUUGUUGGAUAUGUCCACCCAUCUUCCACUGCGGACCACGCCUUCAUACCAAUGUUCUGUAUCAUCUGUCGCAUCUGCACCUUCCAUUAGCCAUAGUGCUCUGUGUCCAACUUCAGAGAUUCGUUCACCGCAACGAGCUGUUGUGGAUUCUCCAUACCUUGUCACAAGAUCUCACCUGUUUGAAAAAUCAGAACAAAUUUUUACCAGGUGACUGCUCUGAUACCAAUUGAUACGGUAUAGAGACAGUGCACAACAAAUAUUUGCUUGGAACGCGCCAAGCCAACGCUUGUAUAUUUGCUUUUAUUAACACAAAGAUCACUACAGUGAUUUAUAUGUUUCGGCCCUUACUCAACGUACCCCGCUCAAUAGGAUUGAACCCGACAAAAGCAAAUCUAAGCUGAUUUCUAUCCUACGCUCACCCGCUCAUGAACAGCAAGAAAAUAAAUCAAAACACUCACCUUUCUCAGCCUUUUGUUUUUGGCGGCUUUUAAGUAUACAAUCCUCACCAAUAUAAUCUAGAGUGUCAACCUAUUUCGUGGCUACCUCUAGACUAUUUAUACAGCCACGAGAAAACCCUAUUUGUUAGGAUCUCGCAAUCUUCAUCUUAGGAUAGUCUUGCACACCAAGUUUAUCCUUUCCUUAUAUGUUGUUAGAGAAUAUUCACUAAAUCUCUACAACAAUAAAGGUCUUCAAAGCACGCCUCUAGGUUAGCUACCACGUCCUUGGAACGUCACAUCUUUAUUUCUAGCGAUGCCAUGUAAGCCCUAAUUGUCCACGUCAGCAAACAGUCUUCUGAUGUCUUCUGAUGUUACAACUGCUUCCUGUUCUGAUCAGCGAUUCGUUCUUCAAACAACUAAUGGUUCACAUCAGCUUCUUUAAUCCUCAGUAAUCAAGCUUCUAAUAUUCCGAUGCGACCUCAUGAUCUACACGACGAGUUGUUCUUCAUAUACCGAGUUGUGCACAUCAGCUUCCUGUUCUGCUACGUCAAUUCAUGCUUCCAUAUCAUCAUCUUAGGCAUCUGAUGUGAUCACACAUCCACUCCUGUUCUGCCAUGUCAGCUCCUGCUUCCAUGUCAGUAACUCAAACAUCUGAUGUGAUCUGAUGCUGCUUUCUGAUCCAGACCGUGAAUGGUUCUGCGUACACGUGCUGAUCCAGAAUCUGCAUCUUCAAUUCCAUAUAUGAUUUGAUUCAAAUCUACAUCAAUUUUUUUAUUGUUGAUAGAAUUGUGAUUCAUAUAAUUUGUGAGUAGCCUUAUCUUGAAAGCAAUUAUCUUAUCAGAAAAUAUAAAAAUAGUAGAAACAUAAAUUAAACAAUAUUCGAAUUAUGACCUAACUUAGAACCAAAGCUAACUAUUUUAUAAAAAGAUCCCUAAACAUUUACAUAAGAUACACACAUCUUCUACAUAGUCUAAAAAGGUGUGAACUCUUUGAGUGUGAUCAAGUGCUUCAAGACCUUGGAUUCUAACACGUAUGAAAGCGUUCCUCUUGAAAUUGUAGUAGUAAACAUAGAAAGGAUCUGAUAGAUAGAACUGUGGCAACAUAAUUUCACCACUACUUGUGGCUCCAACCAAGCAUAAUUCCGUCAUCCGCGCUUGCGCACGCAACAAAUCAGGCAUCAUGUUGACAAUAUGCAUUGAAAAUUUAUGAUUAUUGGCAUCCUCAAGAACCAAAAACCUAAAACACGUAGCGUUUUUUUUAUCAACUGCACCUAAUUUACCCUUGUAGUUGAUCAAGGUCCAGAAAGAACCUACUAACAUGUUGUUAUCUAAGUUAAUAAAUUUGAAUUCCUCAGACCUAACAUGAAAGCAAACUAUAAGAGAUCAAUUCCCGAACCUCUUUUAACUUCAGCUCGAUAAUACAAAACACCAUUGAUGCAUAUCCCAUCAUAUAAAGGAUAAUGCGCUUUGCAACAUUCAAUCAUUCUCCAAGAAAGUUUUCCAAUCCCUAGUGUCAUAACUUGGUACUUUUCUACUAUAACACCUAAUCCCAAGCAUAAUACCUUGAAAUGUUUGUCGAUAGGAUCAAACCCGAAAUAGCUUCUUGCACCAAUCCACUUCUCUCCCAUUUCAGGUACGUAAGGUUAAAGACUCUCCAGUGACAGGAUUACAAAUCACAACAAUCUUACGAUGAUUAUUGUCUUGAUAUUGACCACAAACAAACCCAUUGAUAGGGAGACUAAUCUGAGAGGGACGAUUUGUUGUGAAUUUCUUAUGAUGAUUAGAACCAACAAAAGACGAGACUACACUAGAAGAGUUCUCAAUAGGAUCUUGAGGUUGAGGUGAUGAGAAGAAUAACAAUGCUUCGAUAGAUUCUUGGAGAACCAGAAGACUUGAUAGAGAGCAAUUCACUGAUAUGUGGACGGCGAAAAAUGGAUGACCAAAGCUUCGAUAUGCAACAAAGCUUAGCUAUAGAUUUCACCGGCAAUCUCGAGAGUAUAUUGUUAACGAGAUCAUUAGGAAGGUCAAAUAUAUUUGAUAUAUUGCAUCGUGAGAUUGUUAGGCCAUCCUCAGAGACUUGUAGAUUGUUCAUGUGGAAUGUUAAACUCUAUAGUCUUAAAGAGAUGAACAAAAGAUGAAAACCAAAGAUAAUAUACUAAAAAACGGAUGUUUUGAUUCACUUUUAUAAUGUCAAUUGAAAAAACGAUGUUAAGAUAAAAAAUAAAAAUUUAACUUAGCAUGUUAAAUAUUGAAUUCUUACGUCAGUUCUAUAAUUGAUGUUAAUGGGCCGAUUCUAGUAUCACUUGUUUAUUUUGAUGUUAACUUAAAAAUAACUACUAGGUCUGGGCAUAUGAGUAUUCGGGUCGGGUUCGGGUUAGAUCCUCUCGGGUUCGGAUAACUUUUUUUUUAAUAGAUUUUAGCCCCGUUCGGGUAUUUUUAAAUUUCGGUUCGGGUUCGGUUCGGGUCCUUUCGGGUUGGGGUCGGUUCUCGACAUAAAGUCGAAUAUCCGUAAAUACCUGGAGACUCUGCCGGUUCCGAUUCGGAUAGGUACUUUGAACCUAAAUUUACCUAAAAAUAUCCAAAAGUAUCCAAAAUAAUCAAAAAAUUAGCUCCGAAUUAUUCAAGUAGUAUUCGAAUUGCGCAAAAUACCCGAAAUAAAUAUAGCUAUAUUGCACUAAAAAUAUAUAAAUUAUCCCAAAAAAUAUCUAAAGCACCCAAAAAAUACUCAAAUUAUUCAAAAUUAUUAAAAAAAAACUGAAAUAUCUUAAAAAAAAAUAUAAUUUUGAGUAGUUGGAUUAUUAUUAAGUAUUUUUGAGAUAUAUACUUGUGUUUCGGGUACCCGUAUUUUUUUCGGAUCGGGUCCGAGUACUUAAAAAAAAAAAAAACUAAAACCCGUUCGGGUAUUUGACCGGUUCCGAUUCGAGUUCGGUUCCUCAUUUUUGAGUCGGGUUCGGGUCGGUUUUUCGGGUCCGAGUAUUUGUGUCCAGGGCUAAUAAUUAGUAUCAAUUUAAAUAAAAAUGACGCUAUUUUUUUUAUUGAGAUUUUAUUUUAUGCGGGAAUAUUGAGAUAAAAAAAAAAAAAAAAAAAUUUUCCAAAAACAAAACACAUAUAAUCGUGAACCCUAGUUCUUUUCUUGUCCAAUUUUCUAGUCUCCAUCGUAUCCUAAAGUUGUCAUAAUUCUUAUAAUUGAUCUUUGUCAAGCCCUUCAAAUCCCAGGUGAAAACGAUUUCAAUUUUCUAUGUUACGACUUCAAUUUUUAUUGGCAACGAAAGUUGGUUCCUGUUUUUCUAAUCGAGUUUGAACUUUUGACCCAGUUACAUAUCUGAUUCAGUGAUUCGGAUUCUCGAGUGACCGAGUUCAAAGGUACCACCUUUCUCUACCCCAUUAACUAAUUUCCCAAGCAUGAACGAAAUCUUCUUACUUGCGUCAUUGUUGGUCUCGAUCGUUUGUUUCAAUUUCAUCUCUGCUCUCAAUCUGUAAUUUUUCAUGAGUUAGAUUCUUGAAUUCGAUAAAUCACUGUGUUGUGUAGAGAAGACUAGAGUUUGCUCUUGUCUUGAGUAUAUGAAAUUGAGAAGAAUAUAUAGUUUCAUUACGAUUAUGUUUCUUUUGAUCUGAAAUUCCAUUAAAUUAAUAUUGAUGAUGAAAUUCAAAAUCCUGUUCAUCGAAUACUGAGUUUGUUUUGAAUCAUUGAUUCGGUGAUAAAUUCAUCUCUUUUGCCUUGUCUCUGAUUUUGGUGACUCUUGAUUGCUUGAAUUUCAAAAGUUUUCUAUAUGAUCUUGGAGAUAUAUGGUGUCAUUGUCCUAAUCGGAUGAGAGCAUUUAUUUUUUGCCUUUACAGUUUCCUCCAUAUCUUGAGCCUAGAAUGGUACCAAAUUAUAUAAAUAAUCAACUCUCUUUUUUUUCAAGCCUUUGUAUCGUUAUUGGUUCAUACAAUCUGAUUGGUUCUUCUUGGUUACGUGACAUAGAUUUCUACGGUUUCGAUCGGUUUUGUUAUGGAUGCUGGAGAUGUGAAUUAAAUUUCUCAUGUAUAAUUUUCUUGUUUUUUCACAGAUGCCGGAGUUGGGGAAGCUUGUUGCUUUCUUUGAUUUCAAAGACGGUAGGGAUGGGUUGCUGCAUUUCAGUGGAAUGACAGCGUGUUCUGAGACGCUGUCAGUUAUUACUCGACGCCGGUUUUGCGUUCAAGCUACUGAUAACACUGGUAAACCAGCAAGUACCACUCCAGCUCGGGACAAAAACAAACCUACAUUAGAUAGAUAUUACAAGUCUGUCUACUUUAUCCUCCACGACAAAUUCUGGAUUGGCCACGGCCUAGUCAAUUCUGAUUGGGCAAAGUUGGAAGAAGAAUUUAAUCAUAUUGGGAAACCAUCUCCUAAGCCCAAAGGAAUAAUUGAUUCAGUUCCCUUCAUUUCGUCUGGGACCAAGGUAUCUAUCUCUGCUUUGGUCUUUGUCAUUUCUUAACUUGUUGAUUUUGUAACAUGAGCUUGUGUUUAACCAAUGAUGCAGCUGGCCCAACUUGCUGUACUCUUUGGCUUGGGUGAGCCAUCACUUGGGUACUAUAACAAUUGCGAAGAAAAUUACGAUGCUAUCAAGCAAUGCAGAGACGCGAUGCCAAUUUUAGAUAUGGAGAAGGAGAAGGAUAUGGGGAGUAAUAUCUAUCCCAUGAUUUCUCAUCUGAGGAAAUUUCAGCAGCCACCAGAAAAAGCAACAACUAAAUCAGCAAGGGGUAGUGAACCAAGAAAAAGUCAAAAACUGGAGGGUAAGGAAAAGGAUUUUCUUGUCACGAAUCAAAUACAAUGUCGUUUAGAAUUCAUAGCUCAGAGUAAUUGUUUUCUUUUGGGUUCAUCUGUUAGGAAAAGAGAAUCCCCCUCGGAAAUCUUUAGCUGAAUCUCCAUCUUCUCUAGAAGAGAGAUUGUUGGUCGCGAUGAAGGUAAAAAAGCUGCUUCUGGAAUUUUGUUCUUUGUUUGUGUGUUUGUCUGAUUUCCGGAUUUGGAGUUGGAAGUGAAUUAAAUCUCUCUCAUGUGUAUUUUUUUUUACCGAUGCUGGAGAGGGAGGACCGUGUUACUUUCUUCGAUUUCAAAAAAGGUAGUAACGGGUUGCUGCAUUUCGGUGGAAUGGAAGUGACUUCCAAGACGCUGGAAUUUAUUACUGAAACCAGGUUUUGCGUUCAAGCUACUCAGAUAAAUGGUAGACCUGCAAGAAACACUCCAGCUUGGUUAAAAAAUGAACCUACAUUAUCUGAAUCCUACAACCGUGUCUACUAUAUGCUCCACAACAAAACCUGGAUUGGCCACGACCUGCGCAAAUCCGAUUUUCCAAUGUUGGAAAAAGAAUGUAAGCAUAUUGGGAAAUCACCACCUAGGCCCAAAGAAAUAAUUGAUACUGUUCCCUUCAUUUCGUCCGGGUCCAAGGUAAUCUAUCUAUCAUCUCUGCUUUGGUCUUUGUCAUUUGGUAACUUGUUUUAUUUUGUAACAUGAGAAAGUUGUGUUUAACACCAGCUGGGCAAACUUGCUGUACUCCUUGGUUUGGGUAAGCCAGCAGCACGGCUGGACUGUAGGAAUUGCCAAGUCAAUUAUAAUGCUAUCAAGAAAUGCAGAGACGCGAUGCCAAUUUUAGAUGUAAGUUUAUUAUAUAAGGCACAAAAAGGUACAGAAAUCCGAAAUUCACUCUUGUUUGUUUUGUUUUUUGGUUUGCAGGUGGAGAUCGAGCAGGAUAAGGAGAGUAAUAUGCAUCCCAUGAUUUCUCUUAUUAAGAAAUAUCAGCAGCCACCAGAAGAAGAAACAAGUAUUCUUUUUGGUCAUGAAGAAGAAACAACUAAAAGGAAAAGUCCUCAAGGAAAAGUCAAAGAUGGGGGAGUAAGGAAAAGUCUAAGACUUAAGGAGGCAAGUCAGAGACU